AACACAUGCAAGUCGAGCGCGCCUUCGGGUGAGCGGCGGACGGGUUAGUAACGCGUGGGAACGUGCCCUUCUCUACGGAAUAGCCUCUGGAAACGGAGAGUAAUACCGUAUACGCCCUUUGGGGGAAAGAUUUAUCGGAGAAGGAUCGGCCCGCGUUAGAUUAGGUAGUUGGUGGGGUAACGGCCUACCAAGCCUACGAUCUAUAGCUGGUUUUAGAGGAUGAUCAGCAACACUGGGACUGAGACACGGCCCAGACUCCUACGGGAGGCAGCAGUGGGGAAUCUUAGACAAUGGGGGCAACCCUGAUCUAGCCAUGCCGCGUGAGUGAUGAAGGCCUUAGGGUCGUAAAGCUCUUUCGCCUGUGAUGAUAAUGACAGUACCUGGUAAAGAAACCCCGGCUAACUCCGUGCCAGCAGCCGCGGUAAUACGGAGGGGGUUAGCGUUGUUCGGAAUUACUGGGCGUAAAGCGCGCGUAGGCGGACCAGAAAGUUGGGGGUGAAAUCCCGGGGCUCAACCCCGGAACUGCCUCCAAAACUCCUGGUCUAGAGUUCGAGAGAGGUGAGUGGAAUUCCGAGUGUAGAGGUGAAAUUCGUAGAUAUUCGGAGGAACACCAGUGGCGAAGGCGGCUCACUGGCUCGAUACUGACGCUGAGGUGCGAAAGUGUGGGGAGCAAACAGGAUUAGAUACCCUGGUAGUCCACACCGUAAACGAUGAAUGCCAGUCGUCGGGUAGCAUGCUAUUCGGUGACACACCUAACGGAUUAAGCAUUCCGCCUGGGGAGUACGGUCGCAAGAUUAAAACUCAAAGGAAUUGACGGGGGCCCGCACAAGCGGUGGAGCAUGUGGUUUAAUUUCGAAGCAACGCGCAGAACCUUACCAACCCCUUGACAUCCUCGGACCGAUCCAGAGAUGGAUCUUUCACUUCGUUGACCGAUUGACAGGUGCUGCAUGCUGUCGUCAGCUCGUGUCGUGAGAUGUCAUAAGUUCGGCAACGAGCGCAAACCCACAUCCUUAGUUUGC
rnacentral:rRNA from 1 species